GACCAGAACACUGGGGUGCGAGAGCAAAAGCCGGAUUUUAAGAAGAAAACCCACAUAACACAGGGUUUCGUUCAGCUGGCCAUUAUAUUAUUAAUAUUAUUAUUAUUAUUUAUAAAAUCUGAGUGUUAUAGUAUUCCUCUGACUUAAUUCUACAGGGUCUGAGAUGUUGGUGGUCAGCCAGCAUGCAUGCAUCGGGCACCUGCUAUGUGCCCGGCGCUGUUCUAGGUGCAAGGAGAGCUGGGAGAGUACAAGGCUGUGAGUCAUUGUCUCUGGGGUCCUAUCCUACUGCGCGUGGGGCAGCUGGCAGGUGCAGAGCAAACACACGUGCUAAUCUUAGGUGCACACACAUGUGGGAGGUGAUAAAGUGAGGCCACGUGGCAGGGGCUGACCAGAAGGGCAGCUCAGGGCUGGCCUGGUUAGACAGAGAAGGCAUCUCCUGGAGGAGACGCCGGGCAGAGGCCUGCGGGCCAAGGAGGCAGCAGCAGUGUCCUGGGGAUCCAGGCUGGGUGGAAGGAGCAAAGGCCCUGGGAACAGGAUGUGUAUUUGGUCGUCUUGACUUCAUGGCGGCUGUCCUCCCUGGGGGUGUGGUCACUGUGGCCUGGGAACUCGGAAUCCACUGAGACAUCGGUUACUGCUCACAGAGAUGGGACUUGGACAGAGUCAAAGCCUGGGCCAGGACUUCAGGGAAGAGGAGGCCUGGGGCCCAGGGUGGGGAGCCAGGCUCUCAGAAUCCCUCCUGGGUGUCGGCUUCCUGCCUGGCACCUGCUCGGCACCUGUUCUGAUUGGGCUGGACCUCUAACCCCCCAGGGAAGAACAGUCUAGGGAGGGGCCCGUCCCUCAGGCCAGGGGGUGUCUGAAGUUGGCGGAUCUGUCCUCACUCAGCCCCCACCCCGGCAGGACUCACACUUUGCUCUGAUGUUGUGUUGGACCCUGGAGCAGUGGCUCUCCCAAAGGGCCGGGCAGCGACCACCCAGGCUUGUAGAAUGGCAAGCGGAGCAGAACUUAAAAAAACGCCUUCUCACGCACCCUCCGACGCCACCUCCUGCAGUCUCCCAGGCUGUAGCUCCCUCACCCUGACGUCAGCCCCACUGCACCGGGAAUACUGGACAGGCUGUCCCCACGUGGACUUGGGCACUGAGAGCUGAGACCACGAGGCCUGGUGCCAUGAGGCCCCGUCUCCAUUCCCUUGCCCUGAUUUUCCCGAGGUUCCCGCCUAGGCAAGUCCUUCCAGGAACUUCCAGAAAGACCCAUCAAGUCUCCAAUGGCAA
rnacentral:lncRNA from 1 species